AUGCCUUUGCCAUCUGCCAUGGCAGAUGGCAAAGUGCCAGAUUCCAGUAGUUUCAACACUUCUCCGGCACGACGCUCAAAGGAACGUGAAAAUUAUUCUUCGGGACACGAAAACAGUGGCCGUAUACUACAGAGGACAUUGGCCUUGACUGCAACCAUGCGGAUACCUCAGGGAUGGAUAAAGAAGGCGGAGAGAAUUAGGUGUUCGUUCCCUCUUCUCGAAGACUCAGCUGAUCCGGUGUUAACAAGGAUGCUGGCUCCAACACCAUAUCAAGUGCCGGUGAGGGAAGACAAGGAGGAGAUAAAAAAGGCCCAAGGUGGCCCCCAUUCUGGAGGCACACCAGACACCUUGUCCGGGGAGAUUGGAACUCCCUCUUCUGAAUAUGGAAGGGAAGGAAAAACUUACAUCCCUUCUUCUCAUGGGAUGAAGAGGACCGCCUCCAAAGACUUGAAGAUAAAGGCUUCUAAGCGGGGGAAGAUAUCCCUAUCAGGGGGUUCCGGUUCGUGUUGGAGAUAUGCCCUAGAGGCAAUCAUGUGA
rnacentral:rRNA from 1 species